rnacentral:lncRNA from 10 species
AUAAAAGCUUCCUCAGGAAGAUAGUCUCUGAACUUAAGUUUUGGAGAGCCAUAAGAAUUAGCCAGCAGGAGAAGAAGAAUAACAAGUACUCCAGACAGAAGAACUGAAUAGCAAAGGCAAGGAGGCACAUGGAGAAUGAUGUCUGAGAAGACCACCAGCCCUUCAGGGAAAAUGGAAAGAGAAACAAAAAGAAGGAGGUAACAAGAACAACAUUGAUGUGCAGAAAGGCCCACAUCUCCAUGAGGAAAUGUUUUCUGACAGUCCCACAGGUGGCCCUCUCCCUUGCAGAAGCUUAUCCUGCUACACCAUGAUUCGAAGUUUCCUGAGUCUUCCCCAGAAGCCAACCGGAUGGCCAGCAUCAUACUUCCUGUACUGUGAGCCUGUGGAACUACCAAACCAAGGGUCGGGCUGCUUAUUCUCACAAUCCAAUAAUGAGAUACAGAUGAACUGAGAAAAAAAUAGUUGAUUUAUAUAACCGAGUACAGCAAGAAUGUCCGGGAAACAUCACCAGACCAACUUAAAAUUACAAAGUUUUCCAUACUUUAUAUACCUUCUAAGCUAUAUGUCUACAU